GAUGAACGCUGGCGGCGUGCUUAACACAUGCAAGUCGAACGGUGAACGAGGGAGCUUGCUCCCUCCGGAUCAGUGGCGAACGGGUGAGUAACACGUGAGCAAUCUGCCCUGGACUCUGGGAUAAGCGUUGGAAACGACGUCUAAUACCGGAUACGAGGCGUGGGGGCAUCCCCAACGCCUGGAAAGAACUUCGGUCCAGGAUGAGCUCGCGGCCUAUCAGCUUGUUGGUGAGGUAACGGCUCACCAAGGCGACGACGGGUAGCCGGCCUGAGAGGGUGACCGGCCACACUGGGACUGAGACACGGCCCAGACUCCUACGGGAGGCAGCAGUGGGGAAUAUUGCACAAUGGGCGCAAGCCUGAUGCAGCAACGCCGCGUGAGGGACGACGGCCUUCGGGUUGUAAACCUCUUUUAGCAGGGAAGAAGCGAAAGUGACGGUACCUGCAGAAGAAGCACCGGCUAACUACGUGCCAGCAGCCGCGGUAAGAC
rnacentral:rRNA from 1 species